UACAGAGGGUGCAAGCGUUGUUCGGAAUUAUUGGGCGUAAAGCGCGUGUAGGCGGCUUCGUAAGUUGGGUGUGAAAGCCCUCGGCUUAACCGAGGAAGUGCGCCCAAAACUGCGUGGCUUGAGUACCGGAGAGGAUGGCGGAAUUCCCGGUGUAGAGGUGAAAUUCGUAGAUAUCGGGAGGAACACCAGCGGCGAAGGCGGCCAUCUGGACGGAUACUGACGCUGAGACGCGAAAGCGUGGGGAGCAGACAGG
rnacentral:rRNA from 1 species